rnacentral:tRNA from 1 species
CAAAUUAGAGCUUGAAUAGAGUAUUUUAUUUACACUAAAAAGGAGGUUGUAUAACUUGAUUUGA